CUUACGGGAGGCAGCAGUGGGGAAUGUUGCCCAAUGGAGGAAACUCUGAUGCAGCGAUGCCGCGUGAGUGAAGAAGGCCCUUGGGUUGUAAAGCUCUUUCGUCGGGGAAGAAAAUGACUGUACCCGAAUAAGAAGGUCCGGCUAACUUCGUGCCAGCAGCCGCGGUAAU
rnacentral:rRNA from 1 species